UUUGAAAUCUGGCCCCCUCGGUUCCGAGUUGUAAUUUGCAGAGGGUGCUUUGGCGUUGNCUGUGGUCUAAGUUCCUUGGAACAGGACGUCACAGAGGGUGAGAAUCCCGUACGUGGCCGCCAGCCUCCGCCGUGUAAAGCCCCUUCGACGAGUCGAGUUGUUUGGGAAUGCAGCUCUAAAUGGGAGGUAAAUUUCUUCUAAAGCUAAAUAUUGGCCAGAGACCGAUAGCGCACAAGUAGAGUGAUCGAAAGAUGAAAAGCACUUUGAAAAGAGAGUCAAAAAGCACGUGAAAUUGUUGAAAGGGAAGCGCUUGCAGCCAGACUUGCCCGCAGUUGCUCACCCAGGCUCCCGCCUGGAGCACUCUUCUGCGGGCAGGCCAGCAUCAGUUUGGGCGGAUGGACAAAAGCCUGCUAAAUGUACCUCUCCUCGGGGAGGACUUAUAGGGUAGGUGGCAUACAACCAGCCCGGAUUGAGGUCCGCGCAUCUGCUA
rnacentral:rRNA from 1 species